UACGGGGGGAGCAAGCGUUGUUCGGAAUUACUGGGCGUAAAGGGUGCGUAGGUGGUCUGAUAAGUUAUCUGUGAAAUCCCUGGGCUCAACCUGGGCAGGUCAGAUAAUACUGUUAGACUCGAGUAUGGGAGAGGGUAGUGGAAUUUCCGGUGUAGCGGUGAAAUGCGUAGAGAUCGGAAGGAACACCAGUGGCGAAGGCGGCUACCUGGCCUAAUACUGACACUGAGGCACGAAAGCGUGGGGAGCAAACAGG
rnacentral:rRNA from 1 species